AUCCCAUUAUCGCAAUUUGACCUUCUUUACGUCGGUCACUUAUUAUACCAGCAACCCAAAAUUUAGAGAGAGAAAGAGGGGGAGAGAGAGAGAAUGGGGCAUGGAAGCUCGAAAGAAGAGAGUGAGAGCAGCCUUGCCGGGUCGGAGAAGUCUGCGAGGGGAUCGCGUCGGUCUCGGCUGAAGCAGCGACUUCACCUUCACAGUCGUGCAAAGUCGGUGUCUCAUCAUAAACGCCUUGAUGAUGCCGGCGAUUUCGCUGGAAUUGCUCUGCUAACCCUCGUUCAGGCUGAAAUGAAGUUCAAGGACAAGUGGCUUGCCUGUCUCGCUUUUGGGGAGCAAACCUUCCGUACCAACAUCUCCCCUCAAACAGACAAGCCCGUCUGGAACUCUGAAAAGAAACUUCUUUUGGAAAAAAAUGGGCCUCAUCUUGCAAGGAUCUCCAUUUUCGAGACGAAUAAAAUGUCCAGAAACAAUCUGGUAGGAUAUUGUGAGAUUGAUCUACUUGAAUUUCUAGCCAGAGAUUCAGAUUCCAAUUCUGAGACAUUGGACUUGUUAAAUCCAUCAACAUCAGACAAGAUUGUCGGAAAAAUUUGUGUUUCAUGCUCUGUUGAGGACCCUAUUGAAACAGAAAAGAGUUUUGCAAGGCGUAUCUUAUCUAUAGUGGACUAUAACGAAGAUGGAAAUCUUUCUUUCUCUGAAUUUUCUGACUUAAUUAAUGCUUUCGGGAAUCAAGUGGCAGCGAACAAGAAAGAGGAGAUUUUUAAAGCUGCUGACAAGAACGGGGAUGGUGUUGUUAGCAUGGAUGAAUUGGCUGCCCUUCUUGCCAUUCAACAAGAAAAGGAACCACUAAUGAAUUGCUGUCCUGUUUGUGGUGAGACUCUUGAAGUCUCUGAUAAGCUGAACUACAUGAUCCAUUUGACCCUAUGUUUCGAUGAGGGGACCGGAAAACAGGUCAUGACUGGAGGAUUUUUGACCGAUAAACAGGCUUCUUAUGGGUGGAUGUUUAAACUCAGUGAAUGGGCCCAUGUUUCAUCUUAUGACAUUGGUUUAAACUCUGGAUCGAGUGCUGCUCAUAUUGUGGUAUUUGAUCGGAGGACAAAGAGACUUGUGGAAGAACUGAUAGAUGAAAAGAUUGUUUUGUCUAUGAGAGCUAUUUACCAGUCAAAACUAGGGCUUGGCCUUUUGGAUACAGGGGCAAAGGAGCUCCUGCAGAGCAUCUCUGAAAAGCAAGGGAGGAAAAUGAACUCAGUUGAAUCUGCUAAAGAUAUACCAAAAUUUGUCGAAUUUUUUAAGGAUCAAAUCAAUUUGGCUGAUGUUAAGCACCCUCUGGAACAUUUUAAGACAUUUAAUGAAUUUUUUGUGAGAGAGUUAAAGCCUGGAGCAAGACCAAUUGCUUGUAUGGAUCGAGAUGACGUUGCCGUAUGUGCUGCGGAUAGCCGUCUUAUGGCAUUUAAAUCUGUUGAUGAAAGCCUGAGAUUUUGGAUUAAGGGUCGAAAGUUUUCAAUUCAUGGGCUUUUGGGGAAGGAUCAAUGUUCCAGUGGUUUUAUUGAUGGAUCGUUGGUAAUAUUUCGUUUGGCACCGCAGGAUUAUCAUCGCUUCCAUUUUCCUGUUUCUGGAACUAUUCAGAAGAUUGUAAAUAUACCUGGAUGCUUAUAUACAGUUAACCCCAUAGCUGUCAAUAGCAAGUAUUGUAAUGUAUUCACCGAGAAUAAGCGAGUAGUAUCAAUUAUAUCAACUGCAGAAUUUGGAAAGGGUGCGUUAUGCCGGAUUCAUCAUGUGGGUGUGUGGUUGGUGCACGCCAUGUUUAGAAAGUAGUUUACAGAAAAAAAAAAAAAAGAAAAGUAAAACAAGGGACGAUACAAAAGCAACCGCUUUCAUGUGAACCAGCUGGAGAGAGCAAUUUUUGGACUACAGAUCCAGGAGACAAUUUUCAAUUUACUCGGCAAAAAUUCGCCCAUAAAACGUGGCUUGGGUUGGACUAUAUAUAGCUUAAUUAAAAUGUGGAUCCACAAAAGAGUUGGCCUUAAUGAAGAUGUGGCUUUUGUUGCAAUUGGUGCGACUAUGGUUGGCAGCGUUACCUUUUCAAAGAAGGAGGGGGACCAUAUUAAAAAAGGAGAAGAGUUUGGCUAUUUCUCAUUUGGUGGAAGCACCGUAAUUUGCGUUUUUGAAAAGGAUGCCAUUGAGAUAGACGAGGACCUCCUAUCAAACAGUGCGAGAUCACUGGAGACGUUGGUUUCGGUUGGGAUGAAGUUAGGCGUGUCCAAGAAACAAGCCAAGACUGGGUUGCCGAACUUGGAAAAAUGUGUGUUGCAAGAUUGAGAGGGCUAGUUCUUGUAUGCUAUGUUUCCGUAUUCAUGGUGCUGGACUAGGAUUUCAGCGUACUCGACCGGUAUUUGUAGUCUUGUAAUAAGGAUGGUUUAAAGGAACUGGUUGAUGUGAAUUCGAUUCAUCAUAAUAAAGCUGUGUAUCUUAUCAA